UUGUGAUGGUGGUAGAGAUGGUGAUAGUGAUGAGGGUAGUGGUAUUAAUGGUGGUGGUUGUGAUGGGGGUGAGGAUGAUGAUGGAGCAGGGAUGAUGAUGGGGAUGGUGGUGGUAAUGAUGAUGGUGAUGAUGGUGGUGGUGGUAGUUGUAAUGGUGAAGAUGGUGGUAGUGGCGGUGGUAGGGAUGGUGCUGAUGAUUGUGGUGGUCAUGACUGGUGGUGGUGGUGGUAGCGAUGGGGGUGGUGAUGGGCGAUAAUGAUGGUAGUGGUGGUGUUGGUGUUGCUAGUGGUGGAAUGUACAGUCUGGCCACAGGAAGUGUAAUCUUAUUGCAUGUGACGCAUUUCCCCAAGCAGAGCCCUGCCUGGGCCUCCUUCAUGGUAAAGACUGGACAGAGGUUUAAAUUAAAUGCACUCUAGACAUGAACAAUCAGACGGGAAGAUGGGUAAGUUUUUAUCUCCUGGGCUAAUUUUUCUCUCAACAGAGACAUAUAAGCUGUCAGAAAGACACAAGCCUUGGAGUUGGACUAUCAGGGCCCUAACCAUGUGACCUGGAACAAGUCAUUUAACCUCCCUGAAACCCCAUUUCCUUUUCUGCAAAAUGGACAGUGUGCAGGGAAGAAUUAUGCUUGGCUCAUGGAAAAGUCUGGCCCUUUGCCACCCUCGUCCCUCCCCCAGCACCCGGGAAGGAAAUUCUGAGCCCUCUGAAUGUUGGACUUAAUCAGAAUAACUUUGUUUACCUGGAGGCAGUGGGCCAUUCCGGAAAGCUAUGCUAGCCACUUGAUCUAUACGGGACCUUUGUCAGUGUGGUCUUAGCUCAGUCUCUUGAGGGCUGGAAACAAGGUGAGCCGUGCAGCUCUGCCUACUAACUGAUCCCAGCAAAAUUUCUGGAUACCAAGGCUCAGAGGCGCUUCCCUGGUUGGCACGCUCUGUAUGGUCACACAUUGCUGCUAGAAGUCAGUGCUGACCUUCUAUAUCCACUGGAGAAGGACACCUAGAACUUGCUCCUGGGUCUCUCCCCGUGCACCGUCCCUGUGCUGACUUUAAUCUGAGUCCUUUCACUGUAAUGAACCAUAAGCAUGAGUAUAUCUGCUGUUCUGAAAUCUGUGUGUCCUUCUAGAGAAUUAAUAAAUCCAAAGGUGGUCUAAGGACUUAAAGUAGUGUCAGAAGCAAGGGGGGUCUUGGGAUGCCUGAAUCUUAUAGUACAAUGACAACUCCUCUCUCAAAGAUGAAAUGAUUUGACAAAUGGAAAAGCCACAGCAGAGGGCCUGCUCCAGAAUAAAUGUCCUACAAAUGUGUGUGGCAUCACAGUGUCCUGUUUGCUGAACGGGCUAAGGGCAGAGACCUGGGACUCAACUGCCUGUGUUGAAGUCCUGGCUCUACUGCUCAUGGGACCAUGGACAAGUCACUCACUCCUGUGGACCUCAGCUGCUGGUCACACUGCUGUAAGGAUGAACUGACAGACACAAAUCCCCCAAGCCAGGCCAGCUGCGACACCAUGCUACAUGCUGUUCCCCAGCAGGUGUCACUUCAUGCCGGGGCUGCUUAUCAGUCUGUACCCCUGGGAGGUGCCCCAGCCUGAUUCCAACACCAAGCAUGACCGAGUUACCUGUGGAAACUUCAAGUGCAGGGCGUGGCCUGUCCCUGUUUGACCAGAAGGACCAGAAGGAAAAAAAGCAAGACUGGAGAUGCAGCUCAGUGGUAAAGGGACCCUGGGUUC